AUAUAAAUGUAUAUAUAUGUACAUAUAAAUGGGAAUGAUACAAAGAAGUUUAGCAUGUACCGUGUGCAGGGAUGACAUGCAAUAUCAUGGAGUGCUGUUUAUUUUU